rnacentral:rRNA from 1 species
CAACUUUCAACAACGGAUCUCUUGGUUCUGGCAUCGAUGAAGAACGCAGCGAAAUGCGAUACGUAGUGUGAAUUGCAAAAUUCAGUGAAUCAUCGAAUCUUUGAACGCACAUUGCGCCCUUUGGUAUUCCAAAGGGCAUGCCUGUUCGAGCGUCAUUU